rnacentral:rRNA from 1 species
UUAAAAAGCUCGUAGUUGAAUUUCGGGAUCAAAUUGUCGGUCGUGCCUCGGUACGUACUGGUAUUAUUGGUUCCUCCCUUCUGACGAACCACGAUGUCAUUAAUUUGGUGUCAUGGGAAAUCAGGACUGUUACUUUGAAAAAAUUAGAGUGUUUAAAGCAGGCUCGCGCUUGAAUACAUUAGCAUGGAAUAAUGAAAUAGGACGUUUGAUUCUAUUUUGUUGGUUUCUAGGAUCGACGUAAUGAUUAAUAGGGAUAGUUGGGGG